AUUGAACGCUGGCGGCAGGCCUAACACAUGCAAGUCGAACGGUAACAGGAAGCAGCUUGCUGCUUUGCUGACGAGUGGCGGACGGGUGAGUAAUGUCUGGGAAACUGCCUGAUGGAGGGGGAUAACUACUGGAAACGGUUGCUAAUACCGCAUAACGUCGCAAGACCAAGAGGGGGACCUUCGGGCCCCUUGCCAUCGGAUGAGCCCAGAUGGGAUUAGCUAGUAGGUGGGGUAACGGCUCACCUAGGCGACGAUCCGUAGCUGGUCUGAGAGGAUGACCAGCCACACUGGAACUGAGACACGGUCCAGACUCCUACGGGAGGCAGCAGUGGGGAAUAUUGCACAAUGGGCGCAAGCCUGAUGCAGCCAUGCCGCGUGUAUGAAGAAGGCCUUCGGGUUGUAAAGUACUUUCAGCUGGGAGGAAGGGAAGAAAGUUAAUACCUUUGCUCAUUGACGUUACCCGCAGAAGAAGCACCGGCUAACUCCGUG
rnacentral:rRNA from 1 species